CAAAAUCCUUGCCUGGAAAUUAUAGACCUGUGAGCUUAACUUCUGUAACUGGGAAAAUAUUUGAAGGGCUAUUAAGGGAUAAUAUUCAGGAAUUCAUUGGGAAGAACUUUGUUAUUGGCAAUAAUCAGCAUGGUUUUAUGAAACAUCGGUCAUGUCAAACUAACCUAAUUGCAUUCUACGAAGAAGUAAGUAGAAGUAUAGAUCAGGGUGUUGCAG